rnacentral:rRNA from 1 species
CAUGGCGCCUGUUUAUCAAAAACAUGGUUUUUUGUGUUUAUAGAAAAUCUGGUCUGCUCACUGCUAUAAGUAAAGAGCCGCAGUAUAUUGACUGUGCUAAGGUAGCAUAAUCAUUUGUCUUUUAAUUGAAGACUAGUAUGAAUGAUUUUACGAGGUAACAUCUGUCUCUAUAAAACCGUUUGAAUCUGAUUAGUUAGUAAAAAGGCUACUAUAAUUCUGUAGGACGAUAAGACCCUAUUAAGCUUAAUUUUUGAAUUUUACUGGGGCGGUAAUUUAAGAGGAAAAACUUAAAUAUUAUGAUUAAAUUAGUAAGACCCAAUAUUAUUGAGUCUAGGAUAAAGUUACUAUAGGGAUAACAGCUUAAUUUUUUUAUUAAGUUCUUAUUUUAAAAAAAGUUUGUGACCUCGAUGUUGAAUUAAAGAUUCUACUUGGUGUAGUAGUUAAGUUAGAAAGUCUGUUCGACUUUUAAUUCUUUACGUGAUCUGAGUUCAGACCGGCCAUGGG